rnacentral:lncRNA from 1 species
UGAUUGAGGACAGAUGUUGAAACUCCUCUCCACAAUCUGCACCUUUGCUAGAACGGCUGAGUAUGUCUUGAGCUCCAGUACCAAUAAGUGUUGCUUGAUCUCUGGGCGGAGGCCCCACUAGAAUUUCGUGGUCUUCCUGCCCUCAUCCAUCAAUGUCUCCGGGGAGUAUCGGCCCAGCUCUAGGAACUUACGAGCAUAUUCCGAUACCUUCAUAUUUCCCACGGAUGUGCUCAAGGAGAUACUCCGCAUGGAAGGCCGCUAAGAACUGCUCCCAAGUGGCUGGUGUAGGCAAGGUGGUCUGCUUGAGCUCCCACCAAUGACCUGCUUCCCUACCAGCAUGUAGGAAACAAGGGCAGCUCUCUGCUCAGAAACCACUCCCAAGGUCUUGAAAGCUCUCUCAGUCUCCCCCAACCAGUACUGGGCAUCUUUGAAAGAGGAUCCCCCUGCAAAAGUGGAAGGGUU